rnacentral:lncRNA from 1 species
AUGGCCAGGAAGACACUUCCAAACCCUUCUGGUCUGACCCUGCUCAUCCUCUGGGCAGCAGGCAAGGGAAGUCAGAGAAUGAGCCAGGAAUUCUUAAUGGGCAGAGGGACUAGGAAUCUUCUCUCUCAUCCCUGUCUCUCCUUUCUCUUACCUUCCUUUCUCCCUCUCUCCUCUCUUUCCUUUUCUUACAUCUUUCCUUUCUCUCUCUCCUCCCUCUCUCCUUCCUUUCUCCGUUUCUCUUUUUUCUCAUCUUUCCUCUCUUCUCCCUCCCUCUUGUCUCUCUCCUUCCCUUUUUCUCUCUUUAUUUUUCCCUAUCUCUUCUUUCCUUUUUCUCCUCCCUCCCUCUCUUCCUUUCUCUCUUCAUUCUUUUCUUCCUGUCUCUCUCCUUCCUUUCUCUCCUCCUUCCCUCUCCUUCCUUCCUCCCUGUUUCUCUCCUUCCUUCCUUUUUUCUUUCCUUUAUUACUCCCUCUUGUCUUUCCUUUUUUCCUUUCCUCUCUCUCUUCCCUCUCCUUCCUUCCUCCCCAUUUCUCUCCUUCCUUCCUUUUUUCUCUCCUUUAUUACUCCCUCUUGUCUUUCCUUUUUUCCUAUUUUUCCUUUCUCUUUCUCCUUCUUCCCUCCCCUUCCCCUACUUUCCCCCUCCCCCUUCUCUCCUUCCCAGCUCUCUCUCCCCUUCCCCCACCCUUUCUUUAG